rnacentral:rRNA from 1 species
GAUGAACGCUGGCGGCGUGCCUAAUACAUGCAAGUCGAGCGAACAGACGAGGAGCUUGCUCCUCUGACGUUAGCGGCUGACGGGUGAGUAACACGUGGAUAACCUACCUAUAAGACUGGGAUACCUUCGGGAAACCGGAGCUAAUACCGGAUAAUAUAUUGAACCGCAUGGUUCAAUAAUGAAAGACGGUUUUGCUGUCACUUAUAGAUGGAUCCGCGCCGCAUUAGCUAGUUGCUAAGGUAACGGCUUACCAAGGCAACGAUGGGUAACCGACCUGAGAGGGUGAUCGGCCACACUGGAACUGAGACACGGUCCAGACUCCUACGGGAGGCAGCAGUAGGGAAUCUUCCGCAAUGGGCGAAAGCCUGACGGAGCAACGCCGCGUGAGUGAUGAAGGUCUUCGGAUCGUAAAACUCUGUUAUUAGGGAAGAACAAAUGUGUAAGUAACUAUGCACGUCUUGACGGUACCUAAUCAGAAAGCCACGGCUAACUACGUG